GACAGAGGUGCCAAGCGUUAGGCGGAAUCACUGGGCUUAAAGCGUGUGUAGGCGGAUUCCUAAGUACCUUGUGAAAUCCCACGGCUCAACCGUGGAACUGCUCGGUAUACUGGGUAUCUUGAGCCACUUAGGGGCGACCGGAACAAAUGGUGGAGCGGUGAAAUGCGCAGAUAUCAUUUGGAACGCCAAUGGUGAAAACAGGUCGCUGGGAGUGUGCUGACACUGAGACACGAAAGCCAGGGGAGCAAACGGG
rnacentral:rRNA from 1 species